UACGGAGGGUGCAAGUGUUAUCCGGAAUCACUGGGCGUAAAGCGUCUGUAGGUGGUUUAAUAAGUCAACUGUUAAAUCUUGAGGCUCAACCUCAAAAUCGCAGUCGAAACUAUUAGGCUAGAGUAUAGUAGGGGUAAAGGGAAUUUCCAGUGGAGCGGUGAAAUGCGUAGAGAUUGGAAAGAACACCGAUGGCGAAGGCACUUUACUGGGCUAUUACUAACACUCAGAGACGAAAGCUAGGGUAGCAAAUGGG
rnacentral:rRNA from 1 species